GACGAACGCUGGCGGCGUGCCUAACACAUGCAAGUCGAGCGGGGAUUUAAGUGGAAGUUCUUCGGAAUGGAGAUUUAAAUUCUAGCGGCGGACGGGUGAGUAACGCGUGAACAAUCUGUCCCGGACAGGGGGAUAACACUUGGAAACAGGUGCUAAUACCGCAUAAGACCACGGCCUCGCAUGGGGCUGAGGUAAAAGGAGCAAUCCGGUUCGGGGUGAGUUCGCGUCCGAUUAGCUAGUUGGUGAGGUAACGGCCCACCAAGGAGACGAUCGGUAGCCGGCCUGAGAGGGUGAACGGCCACAUUGGAACUGAGGGGCGGUCCAAACGCCUACGGGAGGCAGCAGUGGGGAAUAUUGGGCAAUGGGCGAAAGCCUGACCCAGCAACGCCGCGUGAGGGAAGAAGGUUUUCGGAUUGUAAACCUCUGUCCUAUGGGACGAAGGAAGUGACGGUACCAUAGGAGGAAGCCCCGGCUAACUACGUG
rnacentral:rRNA from 1 species